rnacentral:rRNA from 1 species
UACGGAAGGCAGCAGUGGGGAAUAUUGCACAAUGGGCGCAAGCCUGAUGCAGCCAUGCCGCGUGUAUGAAGAAGGCCUUCGGGUUGUAAAGUACUUUCAGUCGUGAGGAAGGUGUUAAGGUUAAUAACCUUAGCAAUUGACGUUAGCGACAGAAGAAGCACCGGCUAACUCCGUGCCAGCAGCCGCGGUAAUACGGAGGGUGCGAGCGUUAAUCGGAAUUACUGGGCGUAAAGGGCACGCAGGCGGUUAAUUAAGUUGGAUGUGAAAUCCCCGGGCUUAACCUGGGAAUGGCAUUCAAGACUGGUUAGCUAGAGUCUUGUAGAGGGGGUAGAAUUCCAUGUGUAGCGGUGAAAUGCGUAGAGAUGUGGAGGAAUACCGGUGGCGAAGGCGGCCCCUGGCAAAGGACUGACGCUCAUGUGCGAAAGCGUGGGGAGCAAACAGGGAUUAGAUACC